rnacentral:lncRNA from 1 species
UUCUAUCGUUUCUCUUAUUCCUCCUUUUUUUUCUUAAAUUCCCAAAAAGCCCCCACUUGCACAGAGAGUCUCUCCUCUCUUCGAUCCCUCUUCUACUCUCUUCGAUCCCUCUUCUAUUUUGUUUAGGAAAAUACUUGGUGAAGAGAAGCACGAGAGAAAUACGAGAGAAAUAAAGAAAAAAAGGAUAGAGAAAAAGUGAGUAGGUAGAGAGAGAUGAUAAAAUUCUCUCGUCUUUCUCUCGUGCUUCUCUACACCUAGCACUGCUGAGGUACCUUUGAUCUCUUUCUUCUGUUUCUUUUUUCUUUAAUAAUUAUUAUUUGUUUAUUAUUGUCAUUAUUAUUGAUCUUUCUAUUGUUGGUAGUUACAGAUCUGACUAGAGAGAGUGGAGAUCACUUUUAAAAAAUUCUUAUUGGUUGCUGAGAAGACCUUCAAACCUCAUACACUUCUAUCUUUAUUAUUAUUUUAAAAUUAAAUAGGGUAUAGGUUAUACCUCUGAUGAUAGUUAUUCAAUCUUCAAGUGAUUUCAAAUUUCCAAGUGUUCUCUAGGCGCUCAAAUUGACAUAAAGUGACUUCUAUCUUAUUCUAUUUUGUAGCCUUUCUCCUGAUUAAAAAAUAAGGUCUUAGUACAAGUUUGCAUUGUCUAAGCUAAGGGGAUUAGGAUUCUUUUCUAAUUAGAGCUAAGUUAAAUUCUUAAAGAUAUGGUACUAUCUAUCUUUUAGUAUUAGCUAAUGAUUAAUAUUUAAUCACUCUUAUUUUUAAUUUAUUAAUCCCCAAUUACUUGAGUGAAUUUUACUCUGGAAAAAAUUAAAUUAUGAGAGAAUCUUAAUUCUAACUAGAAACUCUAUUAUAUUAGUCUUAACAUAUAACUUCAUUUCGAUUUUCCGGUUUGCUUCAACUUUCACACAAGAAAUUUAACCAACAUAAAGAAGUGUUGGUAUUUUAUUUCAAAGCGAAGAAACUCUGAAAAUUGCUUGGAAAAGAGGUCUGUUACUACAAGUUGUAGGUGUUUUUGACAAUUGCUUGGUGCAUGGACUUUAUUUUAUGUUUCUGCAACGUACAGAGUAUUUCUUACAAUUAAAUAUGACGAACAGAAAAAUGGUAGCCACCCAUCAAAUUGAUGAACAAAAUGAUUCUGAAUCCUCUGGCACGGAAAAUACCGAGUUUUGUGCCAAUGAUAUCUCAUUUGUCAGCAGUUGAUUCACUUUGCCUAUUUCUAAGCAUCUCUGCGACCUUCUCAACCCUUCAAGAUCCAUGGACACUUGUUUCAUCGUAGGCCUUUUUUUACUAUUUAAUCUCAAGCAUCCCAUCGCAAGCUCUGCUACGGCUUCAAUAUCUUCUUCGCUUGCCUCUUUAGCUACUCUAGCAUCUAAAAUCUCAAGCAGUUUGUUCUCCUUUGCUAAUGAAAUGAAGUACGCAACUAAAUUUCUUUCUUCUUCCUCUCUGGUUAAACAGAUUGGUUUUUUACCUGUUAGAAGCUCUAAUAGUACAACCCCAAAGCUAUAGACAUCGCUUUUAUCUGUGUAUUGACUUGAUUGAAAGUACUCAGGAUCGAAGUAUCCAAAGGUUCCUUGAACUGCUGUUGUUAAAUGAGUCUUAUCAUUCGGUACAGACCUUGAAGUACCAAAAUCAGAAACUUUUGCGCUAAAUUUAUCAUCCAAGAGUAUAUUGGAAGAUUUGAUGUCGCGGUGAAAGAUGGGGAUUGAGGCUGAGGAAUGCAUAUAUGCUACUGCUCCUGCAACUUCACACGCAACCCUAACUCGAUUCUCCCAUGAAAGUGAAGACAAUUCCUGCUCCUCUUCCAGCUCUUGUUUCUGUUCUUGCUGUUGCUGGUGAUCAUGAAUGUGGUGGGAAAGAUUUCCAUUACAGAUGUACUCGUAUACUAGUACCGGUACUUCAGUCUCUAAACAACAACCCAGAAGCUUGACAAUAUGUCGAUGGUUGAUCUGAGAGAGAAUGACAACUUCGUUAAUGAAUUGUUCGAUUUGUGUUUUAUCAAUUGCUUUCGACCUUUUGACAGCAACAAUGCUGCCAUCAGGGAGCAUCCCUUUGUAGACAGUGCCAAAUCCUCCUUGGCCAAGAAACCGGCUUUGGUUGUAAUUGUCUGUUGCUCUUUGAAGCUCCUCUGCUGUAAAAAUUUUAGCUUUUUCGCUACUUCCACAGGAUGAUAAUCGUUGUUGCAGCAAGUAGCCUCCAUUUUGCUUGAACAGCUUCUCUUUAAGCAUUCUGCUUCUUUUUGCCCCUAUGACUUUGUAUAAAUAGCACCCCAGAAGAACCAAACUCAAAAAUCCCAAACCAAUCCCCAGGCCUGAAACAUUUUAGAAAAUAAAUAUUUAUCAGUGCCUAUCAUGAUUGUAUUUCAUUCAUUAAUUGAAUUUAUCAGCAAGAGUCUUACCUAAUAAAGUAACCAAUUUGACUGGAAAUUUUUUGCCAUCUGGUUUGCAGUGGAGACCUUUCAACAUUUCAUCUACAAGGAAACCAUUCUUACACUGGCAAAAGAAUUUCUCUGGAUUUGC